rnacentral:rRNA from 1 species
UACAGAGGGGGCAAGCGUUGUUCGGAAUUACUGGGCGUAAAGGGCGCGUAGGCGGCCUUCUAAGUCGAACGUGAAAUCCCUGGGCUCAACCCAGGAACUGCGUCCGAUACUGGAAGGCUUGAAUCCGGGAGAGGGAUGCGGAAUUCCAGGUGUAGCGGUGAAAUGCGUAGAUAUUGGGAGGAAUACCAGUGGCGAAGGCGGCUCCCUGGACCGGUACUGACGCUGAGGCGCGAAAGCGUGGGUAGCAAACAGG